rnacentral:rRNA from 1 species
GACGAAGGUGGCGAGCGUUGUUCGGAAUCACUGGGCAUAAAGCGCACGUAGGCGGAUCUUUAAGUCAGGGGUGAAAUCCUGGAGCUCAACUCCAGAACUGCCUUUGAUACUGGGGAUCUCGAGUCCGGAAGAGGUGAGUGGAACUCCGAGUGUAGAGGUGAAAUUCGUAGAUAUUCGGAAGAACACCAGUGGCGAAGGCGGCUCACUGGUCCGGUACUGACGCUGAGGUGCGAAAGCGUGGGGAGCAAACAGG